rnacentral:piRNA from 1 species
UCCGAAAUCAAAGGCACGUGUGGAAAUCC